GCGGGGUUCAGCCCUGCGCGGGCGGGUGGUCCUGGUCGUCGUGGGGCGUGGUGUGGGCUCUCACAGGUGUGGGCCGUGUGCUAAACACGAGGUCUCCAGAGGAGUAACAGGACAUUAAAACCGUGAUGGGCUUUGCCAGCUUCCCUGCAGCUGAAAAAGCAGUUGAGAGUAGGCUUCAGUUUUAACGGAGUGCUUUUAUGAAGUACUUUCAUAAAGAAGAAAAUGUACCAAGACCAGAAAACCAGGCCAGAGAAAAGCCUCUUGGCAUUUGAGUGAGGUUGUGUACUCUAGAAAUACUGGAAAGUUUGCAUUUCGCUCCAGUAGUGCAUUUCAAGAGCUGAUAAAGGCUCCAGGUAUUGUAAUGAUCUUGAGCUUAUAUCGGACCACCUUUUCAUCUUAAGGGUAAGAAAAUCCUUUUUAUAAACCACCCUUUAUAUAUGCAUAUAUACCUUGAGAAGAAGAAUAUAUAUGUAAAUGCUUUUUUCCUUCCUCCCAAGAUUU
rnacentral:lncRNA from 1 species